AUGCCUCUUUUCCUAUCUGUGGUCCACACUCCAGUCCAGUUGGUGGCGGUAAUCCCCCGCCAAAUAAACUCAACAGAAGAAGAAUCCUUUUUUCGAAGACGUUGUUUCGUUCUUUGUGUCUUUCAAAAACGAUAUUUCGGUUAACAAGAACUACCGCGAACAGAUUCAGAUAAUAAAACAACCAUUUAACCCUUACCAGGACAAAAGGUGUUGUAUAAGCAGCAAUUUAUUUGGACUGCAUCAAGUAACGGGAGGUGCGCUGUCCUUGUUCGCCUCGAGGGAAGCAGGGAAUCGGACAGGAUAUUUGGUAGUCGACUCACGUUGCAGAUUGAAGAUGAACCCAGCUCUCCUUCCACACUGAACCUAAACAAGAGUCACUGGAUUCUGGUUGUGACAGUAAAGCUCAGUGUUCAUUGGUGGAUUCAGAGGUGACAUCAGCGUAGCUGGAAGACUGCAGUCAAAUACUGGGACUGAAUGAUAUUAGAUGUGAAGAGGAGGAGAUUGGGGAUUUACAAAGAUCAGACUGCCUACAUCUGGAGAGCAACAACGGGAAGAUUACAGAUAAGAAGUCUUACCCCUGCCCCCGUUCUGGAAAACGUUUCCUAUAUACACCAAUCAGUCAUAACAUUAUGACCUCUGACAGGUGAAGUGAAUAACACUGAUAAUCUCCUUAUCAUGG